rnacentral:misc_RNA from 1 species
GAUCAUCCCAUUGACCUCCAAAAUUCAGGACACACAUACGAAAUAUAUCUUCCAAUGUCUGAAUUAUCCUUUCGAACUGCCCGUCUGUCUGAGGGUGGAAGGCGGUACUGAAGUUUAAUUGUGUGCCAAGUGUCUCCUGCAACUUCCUCCAAAACUGAGAAGGGAGCUGGGGCCCUCUGUAGUCAUAAUGGAAGUAGGAACUCCAUGCAAUCUAACUAUUUCUCGAAUAUGGAGCCUGGCGUAUUGUGCAACAGAAUAUGUGGUUCGCACAGGUAAGAAAUGGGCUGAUUUAGUCAAAUGAUCUACAAUUACCCAUAUCGAAUCACAUUCUCGCGUGGUACGAGGCAACCCAG